UGAAAGAAGGAAGGUACCCUGGCUUAGGCCC
rnacentral:piRNA from 1 species